rnacentral:rRNA from 1 species
AUUGAACGCUGACGGCAGGCCUAACACAUGCAAGUCGAGCGAGCAGCGGACGGAUGAGUAAUGUAUGGGGACUGCCCGAUAGAGGGGGAUAACUACUGGAAACGAUGGCUAAUACCGCCUACCGUCGGAUGUCCCAGAUGUGAUUAGCUAGUAGGUAAGGUAAUGGCUGACCUAGGCGAAGAUCCCUAGCUGGUCUGAGAGGAUGAUCAGCCACACUGGGACUGAGUCACGGCCCAGACGCCGACGGAGGCAGGAGGGGGGAAUAUUGCACAAUGGGCGCAAGCCUGAUGCAGCCAUGCCGCGGGUAUGAAGAAGGCCCUAGGGUUUUAAAGUAUGUUCAGUCGGGAGGCGUUACCGUCAGAAGAAGCACCGGCUAACUCCGUGCCAGCAGCCGCGGUAAUAC